rnacentral:rRNA from 1 species
AUUGAACGCUGGCGGCAUGCUUUACACAUGCAAGUCGAACGGCAGCACGGGGGCAACCCUGGUGGCGAGUGGCGAACGGGUGAGUAAUGCAUCGGAACGUGCCCUGUCGUGGGGGAUAACACAUCGAAAGAUGUGCUAAUACCGCAUACGACCUGAGGGUGAAAGCGGGGGACCGUAAGGCCUCGCGCGAUAGGAGCGGCCGAUGUCUGAUUAGCUAGUUGGUGGGGUAAAGGCCUACCAAGGCGACGAUCAGUAGCUGGUCUGAGAGGACGACCAGCCACACUGGGACUGAGACACGGCCCAGACUCCUACGGGAGGCAGCAGUGGGGAAUUUUGGACAAUGGGGGCAACCCUGAUCCAGCCAUGCCGCGUGCGGGAAGAAGGCCUUCGGGUUGUAAACCGCUUUUGGCAGGAACGAAACGGUGCGGGCGAAUACCCUGUGCUAAUGACGGUACCUGCAGAAUAAGCACCGGCUAACUACGUGCCAGCCGCCGCGGUAAUAC